AAACGACGCCUCACAAGAAUCCGACGACGCCGAAGGUGCGGCCUGGAACGCCUUCUUCCCGGGCCUGGCCUUCUCUUACCACGGAAGGCGGGGCCAGCCUGGCCACACAGCGCUCGAAACUCCAUUGGUGGACGCAAAAGCAUUGGUGGCCCCUGCGCAGCCCAGCGUGAUCCUCUGUUUGCACCAUUGCCCCAGCCUCCUCGUGAUUGGGCUGAAUCCAGGAAUGCCUGUUUCGGCAUCACUUCGGGCACCCCGAAUGCAUGCAUGAGCAGUAGCGGUGAUGGGACAGGCUGCUGUCAGAUGGAACCCACGUGUCCGUGUCAGGACCAUGAACAAGACAGGUCACUCGGAUUUGUUGCUCAUGGCUGACAGUUCUCUUUCACACCUAUGUGAAAUUUACAUGAAGUAAAAAGCACAAAGUUGGACUAUACCAUUUGAUGAGUUUUAGUUUUUUGCCUUUUUUUAAAGCACGUGAUAGAAUGAGAAG
rnacentral:lncRNA from 1 species